CUUCUGCCCUCCCCGCACAGGAGGGCGGAUACGAGACCCGGGACGCUCUCUGCCCUGACCGCGUCCGGGUCUCCGGUCGGCCGGAAACGGCCCCGGGGGUCCGCACACCCCGGGAAACCACCGGCCGGUACAGCUCCGGGCUGCGGUGCCGGACAGGUUGAGGGUCCUGUCCCGGCGC
rnacentral:ncRNA from 1 species